GUGUAGGAUCUCUAUGUAACU
rnacentral:miRNA from 1 species